CAUUUUGCCUUUUUUGGGGAGGUGGUGCCAUCUUUGCCACUCUGAUGGGUAUCAGUGAGUACUCCCUCUAGCAACUUGGAUGAAAGACUGAAAAAGCACCCAAGGGCCUCUCUCCAGGCACUGAGCCAAACAAGUCCGAGUACAAACAAACAAGUUCACUUUACAGGACACCUCUUACCAAGGGACCUGUAAGACUGGAAUCUGAAGUCUUUAGGAGGAAAUGGAUCAAGAACAAAACAUGGAAAAAAUAA